UACGGGGGGAGCAAGCGUUGUUCGGAUUUACUGGGCGUAAAGGGCGCAUAGGCGGCCACGACAAGUCACUUGUGAAAUCUCCGGGCUUAACUCGGAACGGUCAAGUGAUACUGUCGGGCUAGAGUGCAGAAGGGGCAACUGGAAUUCUCGGUGUAGCGGUGAAAUGCGUAGAUAUCAGGAGGAACACCGGUGGCGAAGGCGGGUCUCUGGGCCGUAACUGACGCUGAGGAGCGAAAGCAUGGGGAGCGAACAGG
rnacentral:rRNA from 1 species